UCUUAGGAAUGAGCAAAGCAUGUGAUUUCUUGAGAUGGAAUCUGCCCCUGGUGAAGAUGCUGUGAA
rnacentral:pre_miRNA from 1 species